UAAAUGGAGACCUAAAGAUAAUUAGCAAUUGUUUUCAUCGGUGAUUAUUCGUUUAUAUAUGUAUAUACAAAAAUUUAAGAAAAUAUCGGCACCAAAUUUCGUUGAAUAUCGUUACGUGGUUUGUGAAAAAGGUGGUUGCACGGCAAUUAAGAAAACAUCGUUGUUACAGCGGCUUCCUCAUUUUUAUGCAAUACGAAUUCAUAGUCCCACCAUCAAGUUUUAUACAUUUUAUAUCUCAAUUAUUAUAAGCCGGUACAAGCAAUCAGUACAUAGUUAAAGCUUAUUUCUUACGCACACAAUAUAAUCAAACCGUCCUCAAAUAUGUAGCCAUCAAUCAAACUGACUAAAAAUAUGAAGAGAGCUUAGAGAAAAAAGUGAGAAACAAUCGUAUAUUUCCCAAAGCGAAAUAUGGAUAAUUUCAAAAUUAAAAAUACUCGUACGUUAUAACCACAAUUAUUUCGGAAGUCAAAAAACUUUUAAAUUUAAAAGGUAGAAAAGUACAGUUGAAACUCACUGAAUGCAUGUGGAAGUUUAUGGUGAAUGUGCGUCUUCUUCUGAUUGAUGCAAAACGAUAUUUACGACUAUAACUUGUGCGUUUGAGCUGUGCAUUGUGUGAAAACCUGCCAGAAACCACCGAAAGGUGGUUUUGCAACAUGACAAAAACUACGUGGAAAUGCUGAAAUGGGCGGUCUUACAACACUAAUCGUAUUCACCAGACACUUUCUUCCGACUGCUAACUUUUUCCAAGGGAGGCAAAACGAUUUUAGAGGUCGGGUCUUUUGAAGAUAUCGAAAAAUGGCUCAAUGAUCGGAACGCGGACAGAGAGGACUCGUGUUUUAGAUUUGGUAUUCAAAAAUUACCAGAGCGAUGGACAAUACUUUGAACGAUGUAUAUUUAUACCUUUCUAAUAAAAAACACACAGUUUUGU